UACGUAGGGGCUAGCGUUGUCCGGAAUCAUUGGGCGUAAAGAGCGUGUAGGCGGCCCGGUAAGUCCGCUGUAAAAGUCAAAGGCUCAACCUUUGAAUGUCAGUGGAUACUGUCGGGCUAGAGUCCGGAAGAGGCGAGUGGAACUCCUGGUGUAGCGGUGGAAUGCGCAGAUAUCAGGAAGAACACCAACGGCGAAGGCAGCUCGCUAGGACGGUACUGACGCUGAGACGCGAAAGCGUGGGGAGCGAACAGG
rnacentral:rRNA from 1 species